GAUGAACGCUGGCGGCGUGCUUAACACAUGCAAGUCGAACGAAGAUGCCGGAGUGCUUGCACUUUGGCAGACUGAGUGGCGGACGGGUGAGUAACGCGUGGGUAACCUGCCUUAUACAGGGGGAUAACAGUUGGAAACGACUGCUAAUACCGCAUAAGCGCACGGUAUCGCAUGAUACAGUGUGAAAAACUCCGGUGGUAUAAGAUGGACCCGCGUCUGAUUAGCUAGUUGGUGAGGUAACGGCCCACCAAGGCGACGAUCAGUAGCCGGCCUGAGAGGGUGAACGGCCACAUUGGGACUGAGACACGGCCCAAACUCCUACGGGAGGCAGCAGUGGGGAAUAUUGCACAAUGGGGGAAACCCUGAUGCAGCGACGCCGCGUGAGUGAUGAAGUAUUUCGGUAUGUAAAACUCUAUCAGCAGGGAAGAUAAUGACGGUACCUGACUAAGAAGCACCGGCUAAAUACGNG
rnacentral:rRNA from 1 species